GGCGGCGUAGCUCAGCUGGCUAGAGCAUACGGUUCAUACCCGUAAGGUCGGGGGUUCGAUUCCCUCCGCCGCUA
rnacentral:tRNA from 1 species